UACGGGGGGAGCAAGCGUUGUUCGGAUUUACUGGGCGUAAAGGGCGCGUAGGCGGUCAGCACAAGUCAGUUGUGAAAUCUCCGGGCUUAACUCGGAAAGGUCAACUGAUACUGUGCGACUAGAGUGCGGAAGGGGCAACUGGAAUUCUCGGUGUAGCGGUGAAAUGCGUAGAUAUCGAGAGGAACACCUGCGGCGAAGGCGGGUUGCUGGGCCGACAUUGACGCUGAUGCGCGAAAGCCAGGGGAGCGAACGGG
rnacentral:rRNA from 1 species